UUUCCGUAGGUGAACCUGCGGAAGGAUCAUUACCGAACCGUCAAACAUGGGUUGUUGCUGGCCCUCUAACGGGGGCAUGUGCACGCUCUGUUUACGCAUCCACUUCACACCUGUGUACCCUCUGUAGUUCUAUGGUCUGGGGGAUCCUGUCCUCCUUCCGUAGCCCUGCAUUUUUACACACACACUGUAACAAUGUUUUAUGGAAUGCCUUCUGCGUCUAACGCAAUACAAUACAACUUUCAGCAACGGAUCUCUUGGCUCUCGCAUCGAUGAAGAACGCAGC
rnacentral:misc_RNA from 1 species